rnacentral:rRNA from 1 species
UACGUAGGUGACAAGCGUUGUCCGGAUUUACUGGGCGUAAAGAGCGCGCAGGCGGUCGAUCAAGUCGAGUGUGAAAGCCCCCGGCUCAACUGGGGAGGGUCAUUCGAUACUGAUCGACUCGAAGGCAGGAGAGGGUAGUGGAAUUCCCGGUGUAGUGGUGAAAUGCGUAGAUAUCGGGAGGAACACCAGUGGCGAAGGCGGCAUCCUGGACCGGCAUUGACGCUGAGGCGCGAAAGCUAGGGGAGCAAACGGG